rnacentral:sRNA from 1 species
GCCGGGUGUGAUGGCACACACCUGUAAUCCCAGUGGCUCUGGAGGCUGAGACAGGAGGAUGGCGAGUACAAAGCCAGCCUCAGCCACUUUGAGGCACUAAGCUACUCAGGGAGACCCUGUCUCUA